rnacentral:rRNA from 1 species
AUUGAACGCUGGCGGUAUGCUUAACACAUGCAAGUCGAACGAGUGGCGGACGGGUGAGUAAUGCAUAGGAAUCGACCUUUUAGUCUAGGAUAACUACCCGAAAGGGUGGCUAAUACUGGAUGCUAAAAGAUGAGCCUAUGUGGGAUUAGCUAGUUGGUGGGGUAAUGGCUCACCAAGGCGACGAUCUCUAGCUGGUUUGAGAGUGUGUGCAGCCACACUGGGACGACGACACGGUCCUGACUCCUACGGGAGGCAGCCGUUGGUAAUAUUGCACAAUGGGCGCAAGCCUGAUGCAGCCAUGCCGCGUGUGUGAAUAAGGCCUUCGGUUUGUAAAGCACUUUCAGCGAGGAGGCGUUACUCGCAGAAGAAGCACCGGCUAACUCCGUGCCAGCAGCCGCGGUAAUAC